AUAACUGAAGAAUGACAAGUGGGGCAUACACUUGCCAUCUGACAAUAGUAUAACAUAAAGCUUACAAUCACACAAUUAUUCAGAGCAUAGUUUAGUCCCGCUACGGACAACAUGAAACAAGUAAAACUAUGACAUCCCGCAUGUUGGCCCACGAUCACAACCACGGCCUUAGUCCUCCGGAUAGUUCACGUACUGUCGUCCAGAGUCCUCAUCGAACUCCCACUUCAGU
rnacentral:lncRNA from 1 species